rfam:Schistosoma margrebowiei strain Zambia genome assembly, scaffold: SMRZ_contig0006466
AUCCAGCUGACGAGUCACAAAUAGGGCGAAACGUGCAUCAAACUGGAU